GAUUGCGUUCUAGGGGACUGUGGUUUUGGGGCGCGAUUUGCUGAUGUGAUGUAUUUAGCUCGGCUUGUUGGCAUGCACACUUUUUGAGUGAGUCGAGUUUGUAAGUUUGCAUUUCACGUGAAUGACAGUAGUUUGUGUUUCAUUGUGUCUAGAAAGUUGCUUAACGCUAUGAAAGAAUCCAAGAUCACUUCAAGCUCGGACGUUAGCAUGGGAGUUCAACAGGGUGGUCUAGAAGAAAUCAAAAUUGCAGGUGGAAGCAUUGUGGAUGACAAGCCUGUCUUCAGUGCAGACUCAAAGUUCUUGUUUGUUGUCAAUGAUGGAAAGGUUCAUGCUUACAAUGCUGCAACGGGCGAAUUGGCUCAUCUUCUGGAGACCAAGUCACCAAUAGUGGCAGUGUAUCCUGAUGCCUCGAAUCAUCGCCAUGUCACAACUUGUGACAGUGAAGCCAAUAUCAUCCUGUGGGACUUCCCCCUGGGGACAUCACUGAAGAAACGCAGCUUCGCCGCGCUGACGUCAGAUGGCAGCGCGAUGGUGGGCCUGUUGCGGCCGGCCGG